CACCUCUGAUUCUUACAGUUUUCAAAACUCCCCUUCCAUGAAGAUCCUUGAGUGCUGGGGAGAGAUCCAGAUGGGGGAAGAGCCUAUCAUGGCAGAGAAGUGUGGCAACGAGCAGCACGUGUGUCAACUGAAGCCGGAAGCUGAGAGCUCACAACUUGAACUACGAGCGAGCGCAAAGUAAAGAGAGCGAACUGAAGUAGCCGGACUGUUCUAAGCUCCACCCCCGACUCCCAUGAUGCACUUCCUUAGUCAAGUCUACUCCAACUAAACCUCCCCAGACAGUACCACCAAGGGCCUAGUGUUCAGAUGCCUGAGACUGUGUCGGACCUUUCUCAUUCAAACCACCAAAAGAGUCUCUGUGAUAAGCCUCUUCUGUGAUGAAACUUGAGGGAUAUGCUGAUCUCUGGACAUAGCAAUCCAUUCCACUCUCAUGCUCUUCCCAGUUUCAUGGGGUAUUCAUCUUCCAUAUCACCGCCAUGAAACCGCUCACAGAAGCACCAAAAGGAAAGAAGAACCUUUUGGGAUUACGUUCCAAGGACACAAUCCACUGUGGCACGGAAGUCCUGGUGGCAAGAGCUUGAGGCAGCUGGUCACAUUGCAUCCUUAGUCAGGAAGCAGCGAGAAAUGAUGAGAGGGUUCGUCUCCCCAGCUUCAGGCAAUGGCCUCUCAGAGCCUCCUUGCAAGGACUCCUACCCUGCCUUAACCAGCUGGUGAAGUUAUGAACUGCCAAGGUGAGUUAACUCUUACAUCUCUGUUACCUGAAAAGGCAG
rnacentral:sRNA from 1 species